AAGUCGUAACAAGGUUUCCGUAGGUGAACCUGCGGAAGGAUCAUUACACAAUAUGGUCCGGUCUACUCUGUAGUUCCGGCAUCGCCGGGGGCUUCACAGCCCCCGUCUGCACCCUUGUCUUUGCGCACUCAUGUUUCCUCGGCAGGCUUGCCUGCCGCUAGGACAACCUAAACUCUUGAAUUUUCAAUCAGCGUCUAAAAAACUAUAAUAUUUACAACUUUCAACAACGGAUCUCUUGGUUCUGGCAUCGAUGAAGAACGCAGCGAAAUGCGAUAAGUAGUGUGAAUUGCAGAAUUCAGUGAAUCAUCGAAUCUUUGAACGCACAUUGCGCCCCUUGGUAUUCCAUGGGGCAUGCCUGUUCGAGCGUCAUUUGUACUCUCAAGCUCUGCUUGGUGUUGGGUGCUGUCUGGCUAACAGACUCGCCUCAAAAGAAUUGGCAGCCAGUGUAUUGGUCUUGAGCGCAGCACAAUUUGCACUCUUGCCAGCUAUAUCUGGUAUCCAGAAGCCUUUUACAUCACGCUUGACCUCGGAUCAGGUAGGGAUACCCGCUGAACUUAA
rnacentral:rRNA from 1 species